rnacentral:rRNA from 1 species
GACGAAGGGGGCUAGCGUUGUUCGGAAUUACUGGGCGUAAAGCGCGUGUAGGCGGUUGUCCAAGUUGGAUGUGAAAGCCUUGAGCUCAACUCAAGAAAUGCAUUCAGGACUGGAUGACUAGAGGACCGGAGAGGAUAGUGGAAUUCCCAGUGUAGUGGUGAAAUACGUAGAGAUUGGGAAGAACACCAGCGGCGAAGGCGGCUUUCUGGUCCGAUACUGACGCUGAGGUGCGAAAGCGUGGGGAGCGAUCCGG